UGGGGAAUUUUGGACAAUGGGCGAAAGCCUGAUCCAGCAAUGCCGCGUGUGUGAAGAAGGCCUUCGGGUUGUAAAGCACUUUUGUCCGGAAAGAAAUCCUUGGCUCUAAUACAGUCGGGGGAUGACGGUACCGGAAGAAUAAGCACCGGCUAACUACGUGCCAGCAGCCGCGGUAAUACGUAGGGUGCAAGCGUUAAUCGGAAUUACUGGGCGUAAAGCGUGCGCAGGCGGUUUGCUAAGACCGAUGUGAAAUCCCCGGGCUCAACCUGGGAACUGCAUUGGUGACUGGCAGGCUAGAGUAUGGCAGAGGGGGGUAGAAUUCCACGUGUAGCAGUGAAAUGCGUAGAGAUGUGGAGGAAUNCCGAUGGCGAAGGCAGCCCCCUGGGCCAAUACUGACGCUCAUGCACGAAAGCGUGGGGAGCAAACAGGAUUAGAUACCCUGGUAGUCCACGCCCUAAACGAUGUCAACUAGUUGUUGGGGAUUCAUUUCCUUAGUAACGUAGCUAACGCGUGAAGUUGACCGCCUGGGGAGUACGGUCGCAAGAU
rnacentral:rRNA from 1 species